UGGGGAAUAUUGCACAAUGGAGGGAACUCUGAUGCAGCGACGCCGCGUGAGUGAUGAAGGAAUUCGUUUCGUAAAACUCUGCUCUAUGGGAAGAAAAGGACUGUACCAUAGGAGAAAGCUCCGGCUAAAUACGUGCCAGCAGCCGCGGUAAUACGUAUGGAGCGAGCGUUGUCCGGCAUUAUUGGGCGUAAAGGGUGCGCAGGCGGCUUUACAAGUUGGAUGUGAAAUAUUGUGGCUCAACCACAAACGUGCAUCCAAAACUGCAAAGCUUGAGUUAAGGAGAGGUAAGUGGAAUUCCUGGUGUAGCGGUGGAAUGCGUAGAUAUGAGGAGGAAUACCGGUGGCGAAGGGGACUUACAGGACUUAAACAGACGCUCAGGCACAACAGCGUGGGGAGCAAACAGG
rnacentral:rRNA from 1 species